CAGAGACUGCAAGCGUUAUUCGGAUUCACUGGGCGUAAAGGGUGCGCAGGCGGCCGUGUGUGUGAGGCGUGAAAGCCCGAUGCUUAACAUCGGAAUUGCACCUCAAACUACAUGGCUAGAGCAUUGGAGAGGGUAGCGGAAUUCACGGUGUAGCAGUGAAAUGCGUAGAUAUCGUGAGGAACACCAGAGGCGAAGGCGGCUACCUGGACAAUUGCUGACGCUCAGGCACGAAAGCGUGGGGAGCAAAAGGGAUUAGAUACCCCUGUAGUCCACGCCCUAAACGGUGCACACUAGGUCUUGGCGGAUUCGACCCCACCAGGGCCCAAGCUAACGCGUUAAGUGUGCCGCCUGAGGACUACGGCCGCAAGGCUA
rnacentral:rRNA from 1 species